rnacentral:tRNA from 2 species
UUCCGAGAUAGCUCAGUCGGUAGAGCAGGUGACUGUUAAUCACCGGGUCGCAGGUUCGAGCCCUGUUCUCGGAGCAUU